rnacentral:rRNA from 1 species
GAUGAACGCUGGCGGCGUGCCUAAUACAUGCAAGUCGAGCGAACAGACGAGGAGCUUGCUCCUCUGACGUUAGCGGAGGACGGGUGAGUAACACGUGUAUAACCUACCUAUAAGACUGGGAUAACUACGGGAAACCGGAGCUAAUACCGGAUAAUAUAUUGAACCGCAUGGUUCAAUAGUGAAAGUCGGUUUUGCUGUCACUUAUAGAUGCAUCCGCGCUGCAUUAGCUAGUUGGUAAGGUAACGGCUUACCAAGGCGACCAUGCGUAGCCGACCUGAGAGAGGGGUCGGCCACCCUGGAGGUGAGACACGGUCCAGACUCCUACGGGAGGCAGCAGUAGCGAAUCGUCGGCAAUGGGCGAAAGCCUGACGGAGCGACGCCACGUGAGUGAUGAAGGUCUUCGGAUCGUAAAACUGUGUUAUUAGGGAAGAACAAAUGUGUAAGUAACUAUGCACGUCUUGACGGUACCGAGUCAGAAAGCCACGGCUAACUACGUG